rnacentral:rRNA from 1 species
AGGGAAGAAGCUGAAAUAAAAUUACAGGACAAGAAGACCCUAUAGAGCUUUAUUUUGAUAUAAUUAAUACAAAAAUAUACAAAAUUCAGUUGGGGCGACAAAGGAAAUAAUCAUCCUGAAAAAUAAAGAAUAACAAUUCAAUAAAAGAUCCUUAAAUAAAGAUCAAAGAAAUUAGCUACCUUAGGGAUAACAGGCUAAUUUUUCUAGAGAGUUCAAAUCGAUAGAAAAGAUUGGCACCUCGAUGUUGGCUUAGGA